CAUACAGCAUUCCCGUGUGAGUCGAGCGAGCGUGAAAUAAUAUCUGCAUGGAAUGCGUGUCACGGAAAUUCACGAAAACAUUAUCACAAGAGAUUUUUCGGUUGAAGAAGUUUCUUAUUCUGCGGUUUCGCUCGUUUCAUUUGCUUAAAGAGGACAGAAUUUAUAUGGUGCAGAUGAGCUCAAAAGAGCAAAGAAAAAACCUCUGGGCAACUUUUUUUAAAUAGUUGAAUGCUGGGAUAUAAUAAACACAGUGUUCAUUGUGUAGUCUGGUGUAAAAUGAGUUUACUAGUUGUUUCUUGUGAGAGUGUUGGAGAAAACGACUUGUUGUUGCCACUUAAUUCCAUAACUGCUACAGUUUCAAACUCUCAGUCCAACUGGGCGUCUCAUUAUUGCCUAUCAACCAGAAGAAGAGUUAGGACACCACAUAAUUGUACGUACACUUUUUCACUGGUUAGGCACGUCGUACUUGCCAUAUUAAAUGUCGUUCAAUUCGCCAUGGAUCGGACGAUCAACCUGGAAGGUAGUCGAUAUGCGCCAACAAGUUUUCUUUGUGUUUGUCAUCCAUUGCAUUCUCGUCGUGUCGUUCACUUCGGCAGG